GAAUCUUCAAGGAAUCUUUAUUAUUUGUUGUUUCAAAAAGCCAAAUUCCAAGAUGCAUGUUAACAUCUGGAAUUCUAUCAGGCCUGCAGGAUUUGGAGUCUGGACAUGUGAUCUGGAUAAGAAGCUCUCCAAUGAGGAAACCUCCACUACUCAUGCAGAAACCCAAAGCAGGCAGAGUAAUAAGAAAGGAUGUCCUACGGAAUUCCACCUGCUACCACACUUCUAGAAUUUGGAGACCCUUGAUCUAGACAAGGGAUCCUCUCUGAAAAAAGGAAGGCAUCCCCACCUCCUCCAAGGGUCUCUCCUUAGGCACCAUCAAGGCUUGGUACCAUGCCCAGUCCCAACACUGAUAAGACUCCCCACAGCCACAGUCCUGAACAGAAAAGGUAAAAGAUUGUCUCCCGCCAGGGUCUGAAACAGCAACAACAACAAAAACACAAAACAAAAAAGCCGUGUAGAAGGGCUUCCUGAAACUGAUCCUUCAGAAUCUCUGUAGGACAAAGAGAGUUUGUACAGUCUCCGUGUCAAUUCCAACCUCACAAAAGAUGGACAUUCUACAACUCUCCCUACUUCAAUUUCUCUUCAAUGCAGAAAUUAGCUCAAUAGAGGAAUUCCCUGGAGGCUAGGGCUCCUGGGAAAUGCUCAUUUCCAAAAGUCCCAUGCACAUUCAGAUGCAGGACUUUAACCCUCUCCUGGUUGUCAUGGCUUGGAGCUAGUAAGCUAGCUCUGAUUACCUUGGGUACAGCCUAGAUCUUCCAUUUUUACAAAAGACUGGAAUUUGCUCAGCCUCCAGGUAUAGAACAGUACUGCAAAUUGAGUUCCAAAAAAUAUUCUCAGCUCAACACUCCAUCACUAUUUAAGAAGAAUAAUACUGUAAAUUCCUCUCCCUUACAUUCUCAUUUUAGAAUGGCAAGUCAAAUUGAGAAUUUCUAGGCCUCACCCGUCCCUCCUCCCCUUCCUUAAAUGGCCAGUAUUCAUCUACCUAUGGCAUUGGCCUUAAGUAACAAUAGGCUGUUCUUCUUGAUUAAUAGGUCAUUUAAAAUGUGCCUGCCAGAGCCAAAAAGAUGUCCGAAAAUGGAUCAACCAUAAUCAACCAGUUAAUCACAAAGGGAGAACUACCAUAAUGCCCUUCUCUGGUGA